UCCACAAUUUUAUCGAGACAAUGUGCAACUUCGCUCGCUACCAAAGUUUUCUUCAUUCCUUUUCAGUGCUCAACGGGAAGGAAGAAAUUGGUCAAGGUGUGACGUUACAAGCUCGUAUCUUCUACAGCUCAGAGGAUCACGUAUUAGAAAGAAGCCAGUCAGGAAGAAAUAUUUAUGAGAAUUCUGGUUUCCCCGCGUCAGCGUAUUACAAUGUUCUUUUCCGUCAGGUUGAAAAAUAUUUUCAUCUCCAAAAUGUAAUGAUAAACAUUGCGGUAAGCAGUGUUAUUGAGGAAUAAAAUAGUGAACGGGAAAACUCAUGCCAACAGCCUACCAAUGUCUGUGACUGCCACGUUCAACACGUUUUGCACCACAUCAAGAAGUAUCGUAGUAGUGAAUCAUGAUGUUGUAAACAUGGAAAUUUAUAGCAUUGCGAAAGGAACAUCAUUUACAUUCGGUGUGCAGAGGUUCGGGAGUCAAUACUCGAGAGAUCUAAUGAAGUUCAAAGAUGCUUUUUUGCGCUGCUCACAGAAGAAACAAGAUGACGGCAUGAAGAACAAAAGGGAACGGAGAGAAAGUGUGCGUUCUAAAUCCGGAAUAGCGAGAACGAGCUAAACCACAAUCCUGCCACUAGCUGACACACUUGCGCAAAAGCUGUCGAAAUAAAG